GGCUGAGUCGGCUGGGUCUCUGGCGCCGCAGAGGCCGCGGGCGAGGACCGGGAGGGGAGAGGGAGGAGACAGGAGGAGGAGACGCGAGUGCGGGGUGGCGCCGGUCCACCUCCGCAGCGCUCCUGCCUCCCCCAGGCUUUGGAAGGCGGGCCCGGGCUGCGGCAGCGGCGGCCUCGGCUGCCUGGGGAGCUCAAACUGGAGGAUUAUAAGGAUCGCCUGAAAAGUGGAGAGCAUCUUAAUCCAGACCAGUUGGAAGCUGUAGAGAAAUAUGAAGAAGUGCUACAUAAUUUGGAAUUUGCCAAGGAGCUUCAAAAAACCUUUUCUGGGUUGAGCCUAGAUCUACUAAAAGCGCAAAAGAAGGCCCAGAGAAGGGAGCACAUGCUAAAACUUGAGGCUGAGAAGAAAAAGCUUCGAACUAUACUUCAAGUUCAGUAUGUAUUGCAGAACUUGACACAGGAGCACGUACAAAAAGACUUCAAAGGGGGUUUGAAUGGUGCAGUGUAUUUGCCUUCAAAAGAACUUGACUACCUCAUUAAGUUUUCAAAACUGACCUGCCCUGAAAGAAAUGAAAGUCUGAGUGUUGAAGACCAGAUGGAGCAGUCAUCCUUGUACUUUUGGGACCUUUUGGAA
rnacentral:lncRNA from 10 species